rnacentral:rRNA from 1 species
GACGAACGCUGGCGGCGUGCUUAACACAUGCAAGUCGAACGGAAAGGCCCUGCUUUUGUGGGGUGCUCGAGUGGCGAACGGGUGAGUAACACGUGAGUAACCUGCCCUUGACUUUGGGAUAACUUCAGGAAACUGGGGCUAAUACCGGAUAGGAGCUCCUGCUGCAUGGUGGGGGUUGGAAAGUUUCGGCGGUUGGGGAUGGACUCGCGGCUUAUCAGCUUGUUGGUGGGGUAGUGGCUUACCAAGGCUUUGACGGGUAGCCGGCCUGAGAGGGUGACCGGCCACAUUGGGACUGAGAUACGGCCCAGACUCCUACGGGAGGCAGCAGUGGGGAAUAUUGCACAAUGGGCGGAAGCCUGAUGCAGCAACGCCGCGUGCGGGAUGACGGCCUUCGGGUUGUAAACCGCUUUCGCCUGUGACGAAGCAUGAGUGACGGUAAUGGGUAAAGAAGCACCGGCUAACUACGUGC